UCGAGCGGCCCUUCGGGUGUAGCGGCGGACGGGUUAGUAACGCGUGGGAACGUACCCUUUUCUACGGAAUAGCCUCGGGAAACUGAGAGUAAUACCGUAUACGCCCUUUGGGGGAAAGAUUUAUCGGGGAAGGAUCGGCCCGCGUCUGAUUAGAUAGUUGGUGGGGUAAUGGCCUACCAAGUCUACGAUCAGUAGCUGGUUUUAGAGGAUGAUCAGCAACACUGGGACUGAGACACGGCCCAGACUCCUACGGGAGGCAGCAGUGGGGAAUCUUAGACAAUGGGCGCAAGCCUGAUCUAGCCAUGCCGCGUGAGUGAUGAAGGCCUUAGGGUCGUAAAGCUCUUUCGCCAGAGAUGAUAAUGACAGUAUCUGGUAAAGAAACCCCGGCUAACUCCGUGCCAGCAGCCGCGGUAAUACGGAGGGGGUUAGCGUUGUUCGGAAUUACUGGGCGUAAAGCGCACGUAGGCGGAUCAAAAAGUUGGGGGUGAAAUCCCAGGGCUCAACCCUGGAACGGCCUCCAAAACU
rnacentral:rRNA from 1 species